rnacentral:rRNA from 1 species
AGCGAACGCUGGCGGCGUGCCUAACACAUGCCAGUCGAACGUGAAAAGGGAAGCCUGAGUAAAGUGGCGUACGGGUGAGUAACGCGUAGGUAAUCUACCCCAGAAUCUGGAAUAACCUGCCGAAAGGCGGGCUAAUACUGGAUAGAGCGAGGGAACUCGUAAGAGAGUUUUUCGGGAAAGGGAGCCCGCAAGGGCCUUCGUUCUGGGAUGAGCCUGCGUCUCAUUAGCUAGUUGGUAAGGUAACGGCUUACCAAGGCGAUGAUGAGUAGCUGGUCUGAGAGGAUGAUCAGCCACACUGGAACUGAAACACGGUCCAGACUCCUACGGGAGGCAGCAGUGGGGAAUCUUGCGCAAUGGACGAAAGUCUGACGCAGCCACGCCGCGUGAGUGAAGAAGGCCUUCGGGUUGUAAAGCUCUGUCGGAUGGGACGAACAUCUUCAUAGUGAAUAGCUAUGAGGACUGACGGUACCAUCAAAGGAAGCACCGGCUAACUCCGUG